GUAACUUGGCUCUGUUUUGCUCCUUCCCACUUCUCUACCACACAGCCCCUCUCUUCCUGGAGGCCCCCAGAAGUUCCAGCAGAAGGGAGAACUUCACUAGCCCAAUAAUUCCAGAAACAGUCUCAGGAUAGAAUCUCACUGGUCAGUCCUAAGACCCAUUCCUCUGUGUGUCCAGGCACGUGACAGAACCCGCCACAGAAAUCUAUGUGUCCGCUCUGACGUCAUCGGAUCAAUGUGCAUUGCUCGUCUGGGGAUUAUCCAUGUUCUACACCAAAAUGCAAGCUCAAUAAGGACAAAGAUUUGCCUCACUCACCGAGGAAAGCCUGUGUGAGGACACAGUUAGAACGGCUGUCUGUGACCCAAAGAGAGAGCCCCACUAGAUGCCAACCCUCUGGCACCUGGAUCGUGGACUUCCGGUUUCCCGAACCACGAGAUAUCAGUUCCUGUUGCUGAAGCCACCCCAUCUGUCAUGUUUUGCUGUGACAGCUUGAGCUGACUAAGACAGUGCUGCGUGCCACCUCAGGCCUGGUGUGAGACCACGUUGAUGUGAGACUCUCCAGAGUUCUCUGUCCAUCUGCUACAGUGACCAGCGAUGGACCAGACGGUAGCCACUCUGUUGGCCUGGGUACCUGAGUGCAGACCACGUGGGGCAGAGCCUCAGCCGAGCUGAACUUGAAGCCUGAGUAAUAGACCUUUGUGGAUCUGGGGUUGUUUGUUAUGCAGCAGAGCCUUUCUCAUCCUGACUGACAAAGUUACAGGGGCCUGGUAAGGUUACCCCCCAACCACAUAGUGGAAGAAUAUCUCUUUAGGAAAAAGCAGGGCUUGCUGUCACUGGCUGAAUUCAGACCUUGUCACUUCUCUGGUUCCUGGAGAAGGAUGGCAACGUGGGAGCCAGCAGAGACCUGGUUUCCAUAGCCGACUCCUCCACACACCAGCUGUGUGACCUUAGACCAAGCACCACCCUCUCUGUGGCUCAGUUUUCUCUCCUGGUAUUUGGGGAUAACAUGAAGUUCCUCCGCCACCCCCAGCACACACGAGUUCUCGAGGCUGUGAUGUGAGAGCGUCUCAGGAGCCUGGGCCGGUGUCAAGAUGGAGCCUGGACUCGCUGCUCUCCUGGGGUCCAUGACUCUAUGCCCUUCCAUUUCCUGGUGCACGUGGCCUCCUGAGGAAGUGGUCCUGGUCACCCAGAAAUGUUAACACCCCACAGGUGAGCAGAAGUGAUGAACUGGUUGUGUCGCCUGGUUUGCUUGCUGUCACAUUUAAUGAGGCCCCAAGCCUGGCCACUCGGUCACUGUCAUCAAACGCCCCCUCAGAGCUAGCACGGACCCUUCCCACUAAGGAGGCUCGUCUCGGAGACUCCAGCCUUCACCUCAUCUUGUUUCUCUUUGUCCUUCCUGGCACGUCCAGGGGAAAGGUGGUGUUCAAGUCAUCUGUCAGCCAGAGGAAAAGUUGAGCUUUGCUGAGGUGAAAUUCUCUAUGGGGCUGCCUUUCUGGUUUGGUCUUUCUGGGCCCCAGAACCUUGACUGUGGUCCUGUCCCCCUCCAGGGGGCUGGGGAGCGCGGCCUGAGGGAGCUCCUAGCCUCAGGCCUUUAGGACGCAGACCGGAUGAUUCCUUGAGAAAGGUAGCGUCCAUCUAUGAGGCGGGAGCUGUUGAUAAUUCCCCGUACAGAUCAUUUAAAACUAAAUGCAACUUUGACUGGUGUCAACGGAGCCUGUGGCCGAGACAUUGUUCACCAAAAAGCCCACGUGCUCUCCUGCACUUCCCAGCCUCCCUUGCAGCUACCUUCACACCAUGUGACUAGUUCUGACCAACAGACUGUGAGCCAGAGUGACGUGUGUCAUUUCCAGGCUGAGAUGGCAAACAGCUGAGGCAACUCCUCCAGCCCUCUCUUCCCCUUCAGGGUGACCCCGGGGCCACCUCUUCCAGACGGCGUGGCUGCAAGAUGAAGAGCCAAGAGACCCACGUCAGACUGUGAUGUGAAUGACCAGGAAAUCUGCACUGUGUUGAGCUGUUGAGCUUUUGGGGGUGUCUGGCGGCGGCCAGCAUUCACUAUCCCGACUGAUGGGGGCCCCAGAGAAUGUAAGCUCCCUGUGGGCAGGGCCUUGUCUGUCUUGUCCACCCCGUGGCUUCAGUGCCUCACAAGCAGGUAGAAGCUGCUAAAGAAAUCUCUGACGGAUGACGGAAUGAAGUCUCUGUUGAAUUUCCAAUGUUUCCUCACUCGGCAACCAGCGAAAGCCCUUCAUCCAGGGGUAGCUCCGACAGAGCUCUCUGUUCUUCUCGUCCUCUUCCUUGCCUGGCUCAGGCUCUUGGGUCCUGCGUCGGAAGGUGUCUGCGGCUCCAGCUCAUACUGCUCUGUCUCCCAUGUCACUUCCCUCUGACACUGGCCUUUCUAGCACUUGCCCUAAAUCUGAGUCUCGUCAACAGCAGUCCUGAGGAGCACAUUGCCCCCCAUGACAUAUCUGCUGCUAACCACUUGCUAGGGGGCUUCCCAGGCCACUUUAGUUUUGGUCUGAGGCCAACACAGUGAUUUGACAGGUUGACGUUUUAGUCCAGAGAUGGUACCACACGAAUGUCCCACGGCUGGUCCUGAUCCAGUAGAUGUGACCGUGCCACUGUGCCUUUCUUCACCGGACGAUGGUCACCUGCUUCUAAACCCAUCAUCAGGCUCAAAUCAGCCUCCUGGACAGACUAUUGGAGGACUCUUUCUAAUGUCAAAACUGACCCAGCCCUCUGUUGCUAAGAACAGUGUAGUGGGAAAGAACAUGGGCUCCAGAACCUGAGUGUUCUGGUUCAAAUCCCUCUUCCACCCCUUAAUGGCUGUGUGACCUUUGAUAAUUUACCUAACCUCUCUCUGCCUCAGUUUCCACUACUGUUAAUGGGGAAACUUGGAGUCGGAGGAAGCCCACCCCCCCAACUCUAAAUACUAGUGUGAUCACUCGUCGAGCAUUGCUCUGUGCUAGGCAAGGCUGUCACCAGUUCACAGAAGAGGGAACAGGAGCCUUAGAAACAUCAGCUCACUCUUCCAAACCCCUGGGAAGUAGACCCGGGUACAACCCACGGCCCUUGCUCUUCGCCGCGCCCUCCAGUGACCACAGCAGACUCUGGACCCUGCUGGCCUCGCCCCUGGCCUCCUGGGAUGGCUCGCUUGGUACUGACCGGCUCUGACAUCAGAAAGCGCUUCUUCCCUUUGAAUUCUGACCCACCUCCUGGAACAUUCUCCCCACUGGCCCUUGUUUUGCUCUCUGGAGCUGCAGUGAGUUUAAUCUGCUGAGUAACUGCAAAAUGAAUUUAAUAAACUCCAUUAAAGUGUGUCAUCUUGUGGACAGGGCGCAGAAUUUCUGUGCUUCAGACUCUCUCAUAAUUACUGGAACCAUGGAAAUUGCAGGGAUCAGAGACUCGCCUGGAGACGGGGACCGACUGUGUGACCAAGAAACGCAGAUGAGCCGAAACUCCUGCACAACAAGGUGGGCCGGGAUCUGUGUUAAAUUAGGGGACGGGCCCAGACCGUUCACUCCAUGGGGACUGACAGCGACCUUCUGGGGCUUGCUAGGAAACGGGGGAGGCGGGGGAGUGGGAGGGGUUGAGUGGGUGAUCGGGUGGCAGCCCACCUUUGACAGAUUGACUCAUUCUACGCCUCAGAGUUCGUCUGGGCUAACCCCAUUUUCCAGGUCAGUCAAUACUCCUCCUCCUCCACCAUCCCUUCCCUACCACCCUCCAUCGCCAGGAAGGAAGAGACUUGUCCGACAUCACACAGCUGGUCCAUGGGAACCUGGGACCAGAACACAGGCUUUCUGAUGCUAUGUCCAGUGACCUUCCCCUUGCACGAAUUAAUCCUGGUCCCUAUCAGCUUUGGUGAACAAAUGUGGGCUCCCAGUCUGUCAUCAGGUUAGCAGAAAACGCCACCACGGCACAAGGAGACCCUUCUUUUCAUGCACCUGUGUGAUGCACAAGAAACAGUGGGGGGGGGGGGUGACAGAGCAGGGCCUGGCUCCCCUAAGCUCCAGUCUCCCUGCCCAGCACCCACGUGGUGGCACUUAUUGUCGCCUCCCGUCGCACCCUGAUGGCAGACAGUGUUGACUGAUUUCGGCACCGUUCCCACUAAAUACGGACCUCUCAAUCUCCUCCAAUACUGGAGUUAACGCCUGAAAUGAAACCCAUUUGCUGUACUCAGUCUUUAAAAGCUCCAUCAACCAGGAGAAAAAGUAGGCAAUUCGUGACUUUUAAUUUUUUUUCUAAAAUCCAGUGUUGAGCAUCAGCCAUGGCCGCAGUGUGGGAAGUGCUGCGGCAGAUUCAUUGCAAGAAUGGCCACAAUUCGCCCACCUUCCCUGUAAUCAAGCCCUUUGCAGCAAGCCUUUGCAGCUUCUUCCAUCAAGCGGUGGAGUUUAUUUCCCCACCCCUCGUCCCUCGGCAGGCCUCGUGACUUCCUCUGUCCCACAGAAUGGGAUGGAAGUGUCAGUGUGACAGUCCAGAGCCUGGGCCCCCAGAAACCCUGCAUUCUUCUGCCCAAUCUCUUGGAACCCCACUACUGCCAUGGGAACACGCCUGGGCUAGCCUGCAGAAGGUGAGAGACCCCAUGGCCUAACUACCCUCAUCAUCCCAGCUGACAGCCAGACAACUGUCACUCAUGUGAGUAACGCCAUCAACGACCAGCCAGCUGACCACAGACAGGUUAGUAAGUCCAGGUGAGAUCAGCCAAUUCUGUCCAGACCAAAAGAAUCCCCCGGCUGUGUUGCAGGCUCAUGAACUAAAUAAGUGCUUAUUGUUUUAAGACACUAGGUUUUGGAGUUUUUUAAAAAGGGCAGCCAUGGCUAACAUGCACUAUCUAAUGUAUUCCCUUCAAUAAUUUAAUGUGAUCACAAUGAUCUCCAUUUUACAGAUGGGAAAGUUGAGGCUCAGAGAAGGAAAGACUUGCUUGAGGUCACCCUGCCAGGAAUCACAGAGCUAAAACUCAGCCCAGGUCUUUCUGACUCCCCAGUGAAUGUCUGAAGUGGCUGAAGAAUCUUGAAGACUGGAGUGGCAAAUAGGUUUCGUUUCACUUGCCAAGGUCGGUUAGUGGUAAUGUCUGCCUGUAAUGGAGUGUUGAAAAGAUGCAGGGAAAUAAAAGAAUACUGUGGUUGAUUAGUGAUGUCUGCCACAGGUGGUGAAUGCAGAAGCAGCAGUGUCUAUGCUGUGCUUUUGCCAUGUAAGUCCUGCAUAGACUCAAACUCGAAGUACGAGAGGGUUUUGGCUGCCACAUCAGGAUUUGUCACUGAGGCAGAGCAGGGUGCAUGUGAGCACCCCCUGCUCUUAGUAAGAUGACCAUGCACUUUAGGCUCAGGCCCAGGGUCCUCUAGUUGUCAGCCAUGCUGCCAUCACUCUCCAGCCCAGGGGGCCAUAGCAUGGGUCACCUCUUAGGGCUGGCGUUAGGAUUGAAAGAGAUAAUGGGUGAGAAAGCAUUUAAUUUCCAGUAAAAAUGAUGGCAUAAGGACAUUUGAAUCCCAUUCCUCUCUCAAAAUCAACUAAAGACAACAACAACAAAAGUUGGAAUAUAGGAGAUUUUUUUCCCUUGAAUUUUUAUUGAAAUCAGAAAUUGCCACAGCCCCAAACCACAAACUCUGAAGGCUUUCUGCCCAAAUACUGUGAAAUCUAGACCAGCACACAGAGGAAAUGGAGAACCCGUGCAAACAUCCCCAGCGUGUUUUGUGGUUAGGAAAGCUGAGGCUUUAUGGGAUAUCCCAAACCUGAAAACUUCGUCCAAAAAUCCUUGGCUUAGAGCCCUGAGACCCAGACACAGCCUCCCCAGAGGCUUUGCUGUGGCCGUACUGACCGCUGGGUAUCAGACACUGAGCCAUGCUCCCAACUGAUGUGGAGAGAGUCUAAGAGGACAGAACUGCAUGGAAGCUGUCAUUUGCCCGAGGCCGUCCUCCCCACCCCUUCCCACACCAUCCUUCACAAAGAGCCGGCCCCAUCUGAAAACGAGCUAAGAAGAAAGCCACACAGGAACUGUGCGUGGAUGCUGCAAAAAGGGAGAAAGGCAACAUAAAGGCAGAUGAGGAAGAUACGCCACGAGAGGAAUUGCCCAAAGGAACAGGGAAAACAAUUGUUCUUCACAGUCUCAACCAAUUUCAAAUGACACAAUGUGUCCUUAAAAAGACUCAAAUAAGAAACAUGAGGAUUGAGAGACGUGAUUAUAAAGUAACAGCGAGAGAUAAAAACAAGCUGGCUGGUCUUAGGAAUGAAAUAGGAAGAGAAGAAAGGAACAAAGAGAUUAAAACCGUGUUAGGCACACCAAUGAAUAAAAUAAGUAUGACUAAACUAUAAUAAGGAACGUUGUGGAUAAGCUAUAGAAAGUCACACAAGAUUAAAUGGCAAAGAACUCUUUUGGGGGUCAAAGAUUGGAAUGAUGAGAGGCGUAAAAGACAGACAAGGAUCAUCCAACAAAUAAACCUUGUGUGGGACUAACGGUAGACAGUGAUGCCCUGCACAAUGAUGUUUCCAUCAAUGAUGGACCGCAUAUACAAUGGUGGUCCCAUAAGAUUAGUACGAUAUAGCCUGGGUGUGUAGUAGGCUGUACAGUCUAGGUUUGUGUAAGUGCACACUAUGAUUUCACACAAUGGCGAAACUGCCUAACAACACAUUUCUCAGAACAUAUCUCUGUCAUUAGGUGAUGCAUGACUAUAAAAAUAUUCAAAGACAUACUACAAUAAAAGUCUAGAAAUAAAUCCAUGAAUUCAUACACACACAACCUUCCAGGAAAAGUUGCUGAGGAAAUAUCAGCUCUAAGAAUCUGAAUGAAAUAAUUGAGUUUCAAAAAUAAAAGAUUUGUCUGGUAAAAAGGUCAGAUCGCACCGUAGGGGAGAAUCAGGUUGGCACAAAUAUCUCCAUGGUAACAUGAGAAGACAGUGGACCAAUGUCUAUAAAGUUCCGAGGGAAAGAAAAUACACCCUUGAAUUUUAUACCCAGCCAAGCAGUUUUUCAAGUAAAAAGGCCACAGAGACAUUCUCAAGUGUGCAAAGCUCAGGAAACGACAUUCAUGAGUCUUCCUGGAAAAAAGGUUCUAUUAAUAAGAAUUUGAAAUUAAAAAAGAACACAGGAAAGGCAAAGAUAUAGUUAAAAAUUAAAAUAAAAAAAGAAGGAAGGCAGUCAGGAAGGAAGGGGGUUCCCCUCUGAGAACUAAUUCUAUUCAGACUCAGAGCUCCCUCUAAAUUGUCAUGAGAAUUGUGCUUCCAUAACAGCAUGAAAUGUUAGAAACCUUGACAAGGUAAUAAUAAUGUUUUAGGAACAGUCUAAGUGUGCUAAUUUUCUAAUCUUUAUUACUGGGGAAUGAAUACAUUCAGCAUAAAAUCAAAACAAAGUGUUUUCUUUUUUAAAAGCAUGACCACAU